GAGUUUGAUCCUGGCUCAGGACGAACGCUGGCGGCGUGCCUAAUACAUGCAAGUCGAACGAACUCUGGUAUUGAUUGGUGCUUGCAUCAUGAUUUACAUUUGAGUGAGUGGCGAACUGGUGAGUAACACGUGGGAAACCUGCCCAGAAGCGGGGGAUAACACCUGGAAACAGACGCUAAUACCGCAUAACAACUUGGACCGCAUGGUCCGAGUUUGAAAGAUGGCUUCGGCUAUCACUUUUGGAUGGUCCCGCGGCGUAUUAGCUAGAUGGUGGGGUAACGGCUCACCAUGGCAAUGAUACGUAGCCGACCUGAGAGGGUAAUCGGCCACAUUGGGACUGAGACACGGCCCAAACUCCUACGGGAGGCAGCAGUAGGGAAUCUUCCACAAUGGACGAAAGUCUGAUGGAGCAACGCCGCGUGAGUGAAGAAGGGUUUCGGCUCGUAAAACUCUGUUGUUAAAGAAGAACAUAUCUGAGAGUAACUGUUCAGGUAUUGACGGUAUUUAACCAGAAAGCCACGGCUAACUACGUGCCAGCAGCCGCGGUAAUACGUAGGUGGCAAGCGUUGUCCGGAUUUAUUGGGCGUAAAGCGAGCGCAGGCGGUUUUUUAAGUCUGAUGUGAAAGCCUUCGGCUCAACCGAAGAAGUGCAUCGGAAACUGGAAAACUUGAGUGCAGAAGAGGACAGUGGAACUCCAUGUGUAGCGGUGAAAUGCGUAGAUAUAUGGAAGAACACCAGUGGCGAAGGCGGCUGUCUGGUCUGUAACUGACGCUGAGGCUCGAAAGUAUGGGUAGCAAACAGGAUUAGAUACCCUGGUAGUCCAUACCGUAAACGAUGAAUGCUAAGUGUUGGAGGGUUUCCGCCCUUCAGUGCUGCAGCUAACGCAUUAAGCAUUCCGCCUGGGGAGUACGGCCGCAAGGCUGAAACUCAAAGGAAUUGACGGGGGCCCGCACAAGCGGUGGAGCAUGUGGUUUAAUUCGAAGCUACGCGAAGAACCUUACCAGGUCUUGACAUACUAUGCAAAUCUAAGAGAUUAGACGUUCCCUUCGGGGACAUGGAUACAGGUGGUGCAUGGUUGUCGUCAGCUCGUGUCGUGAGAUGUUGGGUUAAGUCCCGCAACGAGCGCAACCCUUAUUAUCAGUUGCCAGCAUUAAGUUGGGCACUCUGGUGAGACUGCCGGUGACAAACCGGAGGAAGGUGGGGAUGACGUCAAAUCAUCAUGCCCCUUAUGACCUGGGCUACACACGUGCUACAAUGGAUGGUACAACGAGUUGCGAACUCGCGAGAGUAAGCUAAUCUCUUAAAGCCAUUCUCAGUUCGGAUUGUAGGCUGCAACUCGCCUACAUGAAGUCGGAAUCGCUAGUAAUCGCGGAUCAGCAUGCCGCGGUGAAUACGUUCCCGGGCCUUGUACACACCGCCCGUCACACCAUGAGAGUUUGUAACACCCAAAGUCGGUGGGGUAACCUUUUAGGAACCAGCCGCCUAAGGUGGGACAGAUGAUUAGGGUG
rnacentral:rRNA from 1 species